GGAGGUAUAGCUCAAGUUGUAGCACAUGCUUUGCAUGCAUGAGGUCCUGGGUUCAAUCCUUGGUACCUCCU
rnacentral:tRNA from 1 species